CAGCCGCCGCGGUAAAACCAGCCCCUCGAGUGGUCAGGAGGUUUAUUGGGCCUAAAGCAUCCGUAGCCGGUUGCAUAAGUUUUCGGUUAAAUCUAUGCGCUUAACGUAUAGGCCGCCGAAAAUACUGUGCAGCUAGGGAGUGGGAGAGGUACACGGUACUCGAUAGGAAGGGGUAAAAUCCUUUGAUCUAUUGAUGACCACCUGUGGCGAAGGCGGUGUACCAGAACACGUUCGACGGUGAGGGAUGAAAGCUGGGGGAGCAAACCGGAUUAGAUACCCGGGUAGUCCCAGCUGUAAACGAUGCAGACUCGGUGAUGCAUUGGCUUGUGGCCAAUGCAGUGCCGCAGGGAAGCCGUUAAGUCUGCCGCCUGGGAAGUACGUACGCAAGUAUGAAACUUAAAGGAAUUGGCGGG
rnacentral:rRNA from 1 species